UACGUAGGGCGCAAGCGUUGUCCGGAAUUAUUGGGCGUAAAGAGCUCGGUAGGCGGCUUGUCACGUCGGGUGUGGAAAGCCCCGGGGCUUAACCCCGGGUCUGCAGUCGAUACGGGGCCGACUUGAGUGUUGCAGGGGAGACUGGAAUUCCUGGUGUAGCGGUGAAAUGCGCAGAUAUCAGGAGGAACACCGGUGGCGAAGGCGGGUCUCUGGGCCGAUACUGACGCUGAGGAGCGAAAGCGUGGGGAGCGAACAGG
rnacentral:rRNA from 1 species